GACGAACGCUGGCGGCGUGCCUAAUACAUGCGAGUAGAACGCUGAAGAGAGGAGCUUCCUCUUCUUGGAUGAGUUGCGAACGGGUGAGUAACGCGUAGGUAACCUGCCUUGUAGCGGGGGAUAACUAUUGGAAACGAUAGCUAAUACCGCAUAACAAUGGAUGACACAUGUCAUUUAUUUGAAAGGGGCAAUUGCUCCACUACAAGAUGGACCUGCGUUGUAUUAGCUAGUAGGUGAGGUAAUGGCUCACCUAGGCGACGAUACAUAGCCGACCUGAGAGGGUGAUCGGCCACACUGGGACUGAGACACGGCCCAGACUCCUACGGGAGGCAGCAGUAGGGAAUCUUCGGCAAUGGGGGCAACCCUGACCGAGCAACGCCGCGUGAGUGAAGAAGGUUUUCGGAUCGUAAAGCUCUGUUGUAAGUCAAGAACGGGUGUGAGAGUGGAAAGUUCACACUGUGACGGUAGCUUACCAGAAAGGGACGGCUAACUACGUG
rnacentral:rRNA from 1 species